rnacentral:lncRNA from 1 species
AUUUUGAAAUGGAAGUAAAAGAGUACACAGUGGUAUUGUUUCUGAUUGUCAUUCUUUUCAGUGGACUCUUUACGGACAUAUUCAGUCUCUUCCUAUCCCAGUCUGCUGUCCCCACUUGCUUCAAGAUAUCCACCAUUGUUCCUGUACCCAAGAAAGCAAAGAUCCACAGAGGAAGCAAUCGCCAUCGAACCGCACUCCUAUCCCAUCUGGACAAGAGGAAUACCCAUGUAAGAAUGCUGUUCAUUGACUAUAGCUCAGCCUUCAACACCAUAGUACCCUCCAAGCUCAUCAUAAAGCUCGAGGGCCUUGGUCUGAACCCCGCCCUGUGCAAUUGGGUCCUGGACUUCCUGACGGGCGUCCCCCAGGUGGUGAAGGUAGGAAACAACACCUCCACUACGCUGAUCCUCAACACAGGGGCCCCACAAGGGUGUGUGCUCAGACCCCUCCUGUACUCCCUGUUCACCAAUGACUGCAUGGCUACGCAGAUGACAACAGUAGUAGGCCUGAUUACCAACAAUUACGAGACAGCCUACAGGGAGGAGGUGUGUGAAAAAUAACCUCUCCCUCAACGUCAACAAAACGAAGGAUCUGAUCAUGGACUUCAGGACACACAUAGGGAGCACGCCCCCAUCCACAUCAACGGGCCGCAGUGGAGAAGGUGAAAAGCUUCAAGUACCUUGGCGUACACGUCACUGACAAUCUGCAAUGGUCCACCCACACAGACAGUGUGGUAAAGAAGGCACAACAGCGCCUCUUCAACCUCAAGAGGCUAAAGAAAUUUGGCUUGGCCCCUUAGACCCCAGAAAUAAUUGAAAGCAUCUUGUCGGGCUGUAUCACCGCCUGGUACGGCAACUGCACCGCCCGCAACCGCAGGGCUCUCCAGAGGGUGGUGCGGUCUGCCCAAUGUAUCAUCGGGGCACACUGCCUGCCCUCCAGGACACCUACAACACCCGAUGUCACAGGAAGGCCAAAACGAUCAUCAAGGACAACAACCACCCGAGCCACUGCCUGUUCACCCCGCUAUCAUCCAGAAGGCGAGGUCAGUACAGGUGCAUCAAAGCUGAGACCGAGAGACAAAAACAGCUUCUAUCUCAAGGCCAUCAGACUGUUAA